GGCACGGUAGCUCAGUAGGUAAGAGCGCUCCGACAUAGUCGGAGAGGCCGGUGGUUCACUCCACCCCGCCU
rnacentral:tRNA from 1 species